UACGAAGGGGGCUAGCGUUGCUCGGAAUCACUGGGCGUAAAGGGUGCGUAGGCGGGUCUUUAAGUCAGGGGUGAAAUCCUGGAGCUCAACUCCAGAUCUGCCUUUGAUACUGAGGAUCUUGAGUUCGGGAGAGGUGAGUGGAACUGCGAGUGUAGAGGUGAAAUUCGUAGAUAUUGGGAAGAACACCAGUGGCGAAGGCGGCUCACUGGCCCGUUACCGACGCUCAGGCGCGACAGCGUGGGGAGCAAACAGG
rnacentral:rRNA from 1 species